rnacentral:rRNA from 1 species
UACGGGGGGGGCAAGCGUUGUUCGGAAUUACUGGGCGUAAAGGGCUCGUAGGCGGCCAACUAAGUCAGAUGUGAAAUCCCUCGGCUUAACCGGGGAACUGCGUCUGAUACUGGAUGGCUUGAGUUUGGGAGAGGGACGCGGAAUUCCAGGUGUAGCGGUGAAAUGCGUAGAUAUCUGGAGGAACACCGGUGGCGAAGGCGGCGUCCUGGACCAACACUGACACUGAUGAGCGAAAGCCAGGGGAGCAAACGGG